rnacentral:tRNA from 1 species
GUGGUUGUGGCUCAGUGGUAGAGCACUUGCUUGGUAAGUAUGAGGCACUAGGUUCAAUCCUUAGCACCACA